rnacentral:tRNA from 1 species
AAGGGAGACCUAAUUCGGGUAUGGGAUGAAAAAAAAGUAGUCCCAACCAAGAAUCAAUCCCAAAAGGUCGGAGCGAGGCGAAAUUGGCUUUCAAACUAGGUUCUGGGUUCAAACAAGACCUGAAUCAGGAACAAGGGCUAUUAGCUCAGGUGGUUAGAGCGCACCCCUGAUAAGGGUGAGGUCCCUGGUUCGAGUCCAGGAUGGCCCACCUGCACAGGUGGCAAAAACAAGAGAAGCUCCGAAUCAGCACCUUAUCUUACUUAUAUAGUAAGAGAGAAUGCUGGCUCUGAGUUCAGAGUCCAGAGGAACCUUGAAAACUGCAUAGAGCUAGGUGAAAAAGCCAAAAAAGAAGACCGCAAGGUCAAGCUAAUAAGGGCUAACGGUGGAUACCUAGGCAC